AGUUGAUUCUUGGGAUUUGUGGAACGCAUUUCGUCUGGCUUUGCGAGCACCACGGAGUACGUUGCCUUCACCAAAUGCGCGCUUGGACGAUGGUUUGGGGAGUCUGUCAAAGCGGCCAUAUUAAGUACCCCCAUGUAAUUAUAUUGGUCAUUUUCUCAAGAUCAAACAGAUAUCUGAGGUUGAUUACUGGAUUUUGAAAAGGCACUAGAACUAUUGUCGAAGCGGCACCAUAAGUUGAUUACCGGAUUUUUCAACCAUCAUUCCACUCAGGUAGUUUUAUCUGGGAAACCAUUUCCCAACGUUUCAAGGGGAUGUUGUGCAGAUUCGCUGACUGGCCUGUAAAGAGCAGAAAAGAA